GCCGGGGUGGCGGAACUGGCAGACGCACAGGACUUAAAAUCCUGCGGUGAGUGAUCACCGUACCGGUUCAAUUCCGGUCCUCGGCACCA
rnacentral:tRNA from 1 species